rnacentral:rRNA from 1 species
AUGAGGGACGGCGUAGAGUGGGUGAGGGUGCACUCUCCAGGCCGCGACUCCCUCCUCGUCGUCGCCGGCCAGCCACUCGUGGCUUGGAGUAACGGGAGGCUGCACGCGCCGGUGCACAGGGUGGCCGUCGGCGGGCGGGAGGACCGGCUGUCCUGCGGCAUGUUCCUGCUUCCAAGCAAGAACCUCGUCGUCGACGCGCCGCCAGAGCUGGUCACCGUGGACGCCCCGCGCCGGUUCAGGCCGUUCGAGUACAGUGACUACCUCAGGUUCAAGCACGCCGGCGGCAACGGCGAGAACGUGCUCGACCGCUUCGCUGAGAUUUGA